UACAUAGGUCCCGAGCGUUGUCCGGAUUUAUUGGGCGUAAAGCGAGCGCAGGUGGUUUAUUAAGUCUGGCGUAAAAGGCAGUGGCUCAACCAUUGUAUGCAUUGGAAACUGGUAGACUUGAGUGCAGGAGAGGAGAGUGGAAUUCCAUGUGUAGCGGUGAAGUGCGUAGAUAUAUGGAAGAACACCGGUGGCGAAAGCGGCUCUCUGGCCUGUAACUGACACUGAGGCUCGAAAGCGUGGGGAGCAAACAGG
rnacentral:rRNA from 1 species